rnacentral:rRNA from 1 species
AUACGGAGGGUGCAAGCGUUACUCGGAAUCACUGGGCGUAAAGCGCGCGCAGGCGGCUAUUUAAGUUGGAUGUGAAAGCCUACGGCUCAACCGUAGAACUGCAUCCAAAACUAUUUAGCUAGAGUGUGGGAGAGGAAGAUGGAAUUAGUUGUGGAGGGGUAAAAUCCGUAGAGAUAACUAGGAAUACCAAAAGCGAAGGCAAUCUUCUGGAACACUACUGACGCUGAGGCGCGAAAGCGUGGGGAGCAAACGGGAUUAGAUACCCUAGUAGUCC